rnacentral:rRNA from 1 species
UAGUAAUCGCAGAUCAGAAUGCUGCGGUGAAUGCGUUCCCGGGUCUUGUACACACCGCCCGUCACACCACGGGAGUUGGAGACGCCCGAAGCCGAUUAUCUAACCUUUUGGAAGAAGUCGUCGAAGGGGGAAUCAAUAACUGGGGUGAAGUCGUAACAAGGUAGCCGUAUCGGAAGGUGCGGCUGGAUCACCGCCUUU